ensembl:lncRNA
GUGGAAAUUAACUUGUAAUAUGAGGUAUUUGAAAGUAAAAUGGUUUAAGAACACACUCUUAUGGGUUUUAUUUCCUUGUAGGUAUUAUUUUUUAUCCAGUCAAAAAUGUUGAAAUAUCACUUGUCACUGUACAAAUAACAGGAAGUAGUUCAAUAUAGUUUCUCCAUAUUUACUCUCUGUGGUUUUGAGCAAGACUUUUGAGAAGCUUUCAGAAGAUAUGCUGCAGAGAGUCGGUGAGGGCGGCUCAUUGUCUAUAACGAUGAACAUAAUAAUUGCUCUUCUGUGUGAGUACACUAACAGAUAACAUCUAUGUCUUUCAGUCAAACUGUUUUCUGUCUAUUUAAGCUGACAGGAUUCAUUUAAUUUUUCACUUCUUUUCUUCAAGGUAUUCUGACAAAUCAGGUCAUAAGCCAAGGUAAGUUCAGUUUCACUCAUUAAAAGAUAUGUCUCUUCUGUAUUCCUAAAUGUUAUUAAGCUGCACUCAUCAUCACAUAUAUUGCUCAUUAUGAUGUCACACAGAUAUUUUUCCUGCAAAGAUCCUGGCCCAGCAGACAAUUAUAAGUGAAAACAGUGACCUUUAUGUAACAUGCAGCACACUUGAGAGAAAGAAAGACUCCAAGGUUUUUAUUUAUUUGUUAAAAAAUGGGCACGGAAUCCAGAAUCUCACCCAGAAGCAAGAUCGAAGUGACACCAAGUUCAGGAUACCCAGAGCUGGUCUUCAUCACAGUGGAAAUUACAGCUGUGUUUAUUCUCAGAAACCUUAUACACUUUCUGAAGUAGUCAAGAAAGGAGACAACAUCAUUGAGAUUCUGGUCAUAGCCAAUUUUCUCCCAGCAGAUAUUUCAAUAGUUGGGCCAUCCACUGUUCAUGAGGGAGACUAUGUUGAAUUCCAGUGCACAGUGUCUCAACACCUACAUACACUUGGUGGAUGUAAAUUUAUCUACGCUUACCUGAGGAAGAACGACACGAUUCUCCAAGUGCAAGUCUUUAAUGUGUCUCAGAAGCUGGCAACUUUCAUCAUCGAUAGUGCAGUUUUCAAGGAUUCAGGUCCUUACAGCUGCAUAGUGCUGCCAUCAAAAUGCUUCUAUGAGCACGAGUACACAGUUCAUGGAACAAACAAUUUAUUUCUUGAGGUCAAAGGUAAGGGUCUCUGAAUUUUUCAAACAUGCUUCAAAUAGACCUUAAUUUUAAAAAAAGUUAAGUUUAUGCUGUCUUUUUGUGCUUUCCAGUGCAUUUAAUCUCUCUUGGUUUACUGCGUUAUGGAGUGAUAACCUUGAUGGUAUUACUGGUGGCGUUCCUUUGUGGAUCAAACAACAAACAAGCAAAUGCAGACAUGCUGGAGAAAUGACGGGAUGAGAGUGUGGGAAGAUCUAGAUCAGGAGUGUCAAACUGAUUUUAUGUUGUAGGCCACACAGCCCACUAGUUAAGUGGUGCAUCGGCGUAACGUUGUGCUGACCAUUAGGGGGGUCAAGAUGUCUGUCUAAAUAAAUCUGGGUAUAUUCCCAGAUGAUUAAACAUGCAACUAUUUUGCUGGUAAUACCUGAAAUGAGUAAAGAAAAUCAACAGCCUAUUUAUGCAAGCUAAUUCAUAAUUUUAUUGGGGUUGGGGGGGGGGUUAUAUUGAUUGAGUCUGGUUUUUUUUGUGGGGGGGUCAUAACCCCCUAACCCACCUGGAAAUUAUGCCCCUGAAGUGGUGAAGCUCCCCUUCCUUUCAUUGUAAAGAAAUUACAUAUUUAACUGUUUCUCUACGUGAUAAAGGAAAAGCUGCUGUGACAAAGAAAUAAAUAUAUCAGCACAACUCUUUAAAUUGUAAAAUAUAAAUAUGUAAAAUUACAGAAAAAGUUCUGGUAGCUCAUUGCUCAGAUUGUCAAGUUUUGGAUUUUUGUUGUUGUUGUUGUUUUUUUAAACUGUAAUCCUCAGAAAUACAAAUUUCUAUAGUAGAAGAUUUAUAAAAGAAACCUGUCUAUUUAUUGUUUAUUGCCUUAU